rnacentral:rRNA from 1 species
GAUGAACGCUAGCGAUAGGCUUAACACAUGCGAGUCGAGGGGCAGCAUGGUCUUAGCUUGCUAAGGCUGAUGGCGACCGGCGCACGGGUGCGUAACGCGUAUGCAACUUGCCUCACAGAGGGGGAUAACCCGUCGAAAGACGGACUAAUACCGCGUACACUCUAUGUUGGGCAUCCAAUGUAGAGGAAAUGAAAUUCGCUGUGAGAUAGGCAUGCGUCCCAUUAGCUAGUUGGUGAGGUAACGGCUCACCAAGGCGACGAUGGGUAGGGGAACUGAGAGGUUGAACCCCCACACUGGUACUGAGACACGGACCAGACUCCUACGGGAGGCAGCAGUGAGGAAUAUUGGUCAAUGGGCGAGAGCCUGAACCAGCCAAGUCGCGUGAAGGAUGACUGUCUUAUGGAUUGUAAACUUCUUUUAUACGGGAAUAACAAGAGUCACGUGUGGCUCCCUGCAUGUACCGUAUGAAUAAGCAUCGGCUAACUCCGUG